UACGUAGGGUGCGAGCGUUUGUCCGGAUUUAUUGGGCGUAAAGGGCUCGUAGGCGGCGUGUCGCGUCGGGGAGUGAAAGCCCGUUGCUUAACGGCGGGUUGGCUUUCGGUACGGGCAUGCUGGAGUGCGGCAGGGGAGACUGGAAUUCCUGGUGUAGCAGUGAAAUGCGUAGAUAUCGAGAGGAACACCAGUGGCGAAGGCGAGUCCCUGGACAGGUCCUGACGCUGAGGCACGAAAGCUAGGGGAGCAAACAGG
rnacentral:rRNA from 1 species